rnacentral:rRNA from 1 species
UACGGAGGGUGCAAGCGUUAUCCGGAAUUAUUGGGCGUAAAGAGCUCGUAGGCGGUCUGUCGCGUCUGCUGUGAAAACUCAGGGCUUAACCCUGAGCUUGCAGUGGGUACGGGCAGACUAGAGUGCGGUAGGGGAGACUGGAAUUCCUGGUGUAGCGGUGAAAUGCGCAGAUAUCAGGAAGAACACCUAUGGCGAAGGCAGCUCUCUGGGACGGUACUGACGCUGAGACGCGAAAGCGUGGGGAGCGAACAGG